CCUGCUGAGGGCCUUGCGCUCGCUGGUUUCUCGCUGCCUCCAGAGUUGCUGGGCACGUCUCUAGCAUCCUGGAUCCCAGCUCUGUGGCUUUUGCCAUUAUGAGCUUUAAGACUGAGCGUUUCUUCUUCUAGAGUGGAUCCAAAAGGGCCAGGAGUAGAACCGGGUCUGACUUAAAAGCCGGACUGGCUCUGACUUAAGUUGGACCGGAGCCAGGGUGAGGCUUCAGGUGAAUAAAAUUUUGUUUGAAGUCUGAACAAGCAGGUUAACCUUAUCAAAGACAAGAUUGAAUUACAGUGGCCACAGUGGAGACUUUCAGCCUAGAUAAGCUUAUCCAUUUACCAGGUGCCCUGGAGAAAAAGGGGUCUCAGCCAGACACUCACCAUAAAGGAUAGAGGGAAAAUUAUUUUUUCCUCCUCUGCAGUGUCUGGUGACCAGGAUGAGACCUACUGGGACUUAAGGUAGGAAGACCUGGGCUUAAAUACUAGUUCCAUCUUGAUUUUAGUUAAGUCGCCAUUAGUUUCCUUUACUCACAAAAAUAAACGCUGUUGAUUACCUAGAAUUGAUUACUGGGAUGAUGGCCAAAUGAGGAUAUGAAAAUUCUUUGUAAUAAUAAUGGUGGCUACCAUCAACAGAGUGCUGAUGAUGUGCCAAGUCUUGUUUUAAGCACUUUCUAUCUAUUAUCAAUUUAUUUAACCCUCACAACAACCCUCUACAGAUGAGGAAACUAAGGCAGAGAGAAGUUAAGUAACUGGCCUGCAGUCACACAGCUAGCGUGCAGCAGAGCUGGGAUUCUGGGUUCUAUUCUGUUAUCUAGCACGCUCCACCACCUGCCCUCGGGGAGGAAUUAUUACGCACCUGGAGAGGUUAAUGAAGUCACCUGGCCACUCCUUCAUCCAGCACAUCCAGCUCAGGUGCGCACCUCUCCUCUGGCUCCUCUGCCUGGUUCUCACAGUUUCUCACAUUCGUUAGGCAUGCCCUUCAGCCUUUUGGCAAUGCUGAGCUUCCUCAGGUCCAUUCACAUUUGAACCUGAGAGAUAAAGAUGCAAAGUUCUGCGAACAAAUUAUGGGAACUGAAUACCAGGCCUGUGGACAGAGGAGGUAGGCAGGGGAGAAAGGAGCGCUAUGGGAGGCAGUGAGUGAAGAUACUCACAGCAGCCAUCCAUCACUUCAGUGUAAAGGGAACUGGCCCUGCCUCAAAGGUCAGUUGAGUUGGGAGAACACAGGGCAAAUCAAAAGCCAAAGGACACAGAUUUGCUGUUGAUCAGGAAAGGCCACCACUGUGAGGGCAGAGUCAUUUCUUGAUGGAGGCUCCCAUAGGGGAGGCAGGCUUCAUUCUCCUUCUUAAUUCCUGAACUCCCUGGCCAAGGAGAGAGUGGAAACAUCUCCUGACAAGCAACAGAGAUUGGGGAGAGAUGAAAAGACCUUCGGUAACAGCCUGAAA
rnacentral:lncRNA from 1 species